GGCAUGCGUCUAUCUGCAGGUGAACGCUGAGGUUUGGUGUUUACACUAGACUGAUGAGUUGCGAACGGGUGAGUAACGCGUAGGUAACCUGCCUCAUAGCGGGGGAUAACUAUUGGAAACGAUAGCUAAUACCGCAUAAGAGUAAUUAACACAUGUUAGUUAUUUAAAAGGAGCAAUUGCUUCACUGUGAGAUGGACCUGCGUUGUAUUAGCUAGUUGGUGAGGUAAAGGCUCACCAAGGCGACGAUACAUAGCCGACCUGAGAGGGUGAUCGGCCACACUGGGACUGAGACACGGCCCAGACUCCUACGGGAGGCAGCAGUAGGGAAUCUUCGGCAAUGGACGGAAGUCUGACCGAGCAACGCCGCGUGAGUGAAGAAGGUUUUCGGAUCGUAAAGCUCUGUUGUUAGAGAAGAACGUUGGUAGGAGUGGAAAAUCUACCAAGUGACGGUAACUAACCAGAAAGGGACGGCUAACUACGUGCCAGCAGCCGCGGUAAUACGUAGGUCCCGAGCGUUGUCCGGAUUUAUUGGGCGUAAAGCGAGCGCAGGCGGUUCUUUAAGUCUGAAGUUAAAGGCAGUGGCUUAACCAUUGUACGCUUUGGAAACUGGAGGACUUGAGUGCACAAUGGGAGAGUGGAAUUCCAUGUGUAGCGGUGAAAUGCGUAGAUAUAUGGAGGAACACCGGUGGCGAAAGCGGCUCUCUGGUCUGUAACUGACGCUGAAGCUCGAAAGCGUGGGGAGCAACAGGAUUAGAUACCCUGGUAGUCCACGCCGUAAACGAUGAGUGCUAGGUGUUAGGCCCUUUUCGGGGCUUAGUGGCGCAGCUAACGCAUUAAGCACUCCGCCUG
rnacentral:rRNA from 1 species